UGCCUGUGUCAUGAGGUUCUCGGGUUCCUGAGUUCUGAGUACUGUGCUUUGAACUGGGGAUCAGAGUGCCAUAAUCUUGGAGUCCUGCAGACUGGAUCUCCUAAGGCUAAUCACCUGCACGAACUGCUCUGUGGAAUUUAUUUGCCCUCCCACCCAUCUGGCCUUUCCAAGAGCUGACAGCACCGUGGGACAGGUCAGGUUAACAAUUCUUGGUGAUCAAAAGUGGGCUCCAGAGAAGACCCCAACUGCUCCAGAGCUGGCUAGCAAACAGGUGCAGUACCCAUGGACAUUUCUGAGCUGCUUCAUGCCUACCCUGGCUGGG